UACGUAGGGUGCGAGCGUUGCCCGGAUUUAUUGGGCGUAAAGGGCGCGCAGGCGGCUACGCACGUCCGUUGUGAAAUCGCUCGGCUCAACUGGGCGGGGUCAGCGGAUACGGCGUAGCUGGAGCAAGCUAGGGGGCAAUGGAAUUCCCGGUGUAGUGGUGGAAUGCGUAGAUAUCGGGGAGGAACACCAGUGGCGAAGGCGGUUGCCUGGAGCUUUGCUGACGCUGAGGCGCGAAAGCGUGGGAGCGAACAGG
rnacentral:rRNA from 1 species